UACGGGGGGAGCAAGCGUUGUUCGGAUUUACUGGGCGUAAAGGGCGCGUAGGCGGUCAGCACAAGUCAGUUGUGAAAUCUCCGGGCUUAACUCGGAAAGGUCAACUGAUACUGUGCGACUAGAGUGCAGAAGGGGCAACUGGAAUUCUCGGUGUAGCGGUGAAAUGCGUAGAUAUCAGGAAGAACACCGGUGGCGAAAGCGCUCUGCUAGGCCGCAACUGACACUGAGGGACGAAAGCUAGGGGAGCGAAUGGG
rnacentral:rRNA from 1 species